AGGACCAAUCAGAGACCAGCUACAGACCAUAUGAUCAACCAGGGUGAAACUGAAGACGGACAUUAUGCUUCUCUUCUUCAUGGUGAUUCUUGUCUCUAUGAAACAAUCAAAGGCUCUGAAGAACGUAAACAAGGGACGAAUGAUGAACCAGAGGAGAGCGAUUACUCAAAUGUGACGAGGUAAACAGUUGCAGGUACUUCAAGUACAACGGACCAUGUAGUACAAUAUGAAUAAAACAUCUGCAUGGACAGAACCAGGGGAACAGAUGACGACAUAAAAAACCACAUCUUUGUCUCUUUGAGUAAUUAUUGUGUAACUUCUUCUUUCCUGAUAUGAGACAGUAUUUUGUAGUUGAUGAGCAGAUCUUUCAAAGGCUUUACUUGGUGAAAAUAGUCUAAUUACAUGUAUACUUAUUCAAAUGUUGGUAUUGAGUCUUUUUUUUCCUCAGUCACUUUGUUUUUUUAAAGCUUUUGUAGAAAACUUUGACUGGAGGCUGGUUUGAAAAGCAGAAAAAAGCAGUUUGACGUCUUUGAGCUUCAGUGCGUUGGUGAUAUUAUUCAAUAUGAAGUCAUCUUCUCUUUUACUUCUGAUUAAAAAAAAGCUUUAUGCAUUUUAAACAUUUUUAACCUGUUAUUGAACUAAAUAUUUAUGUUCAUUUUUUUAGUUUUU